AUUCCUACGGGAGGCAGCAGUGGGGAAUAUUGGACAAUGGGCGAAAGCCUGAUCCAGCAAUGCCGCGUGAGUGAUGAAGGCCUUAGGGUUGUAAAGCUCUUUUACCCGGGAUGAUAAUGACAGUACCGGGAGAAUAAGCCCCGGCUAACUCCGUGCCAGCAGCCGCGGUAAUACGGAGGGGGCUAGCGUUGUUCGGAAUU
rnacentral:rRNA from 1 species